UACGUAGGGUGCAAGCGUUAAUCGGAAUUACUGGGCGUAAAGCGUGCGCAGGCGGUCCGUUAAGACAGAUGUGAAAUCCCCGGGCUUAACCUGGGAACUGCAUUGGAUACUAUCCGGCUCGAGGAAUGGAGGGGGAGACUGGAAUACUUGGUGUAGCAGUGAAAUGCGUAGAUAUAGGAAGGAACACCAGUGGCGAAGGCGACCACCUGGGCUCAUACUGACACUGAGGUGCGAAAAGCGUGGGGGAGCAAACAGG
rnacentral:rRNA from 1 species